UAAUGUCUCAUGCCUAUUACAUAGUAAUAUGCAUCGAUCACCAAUACCAUGGUUAGGUAUAUAGGCAACGGAUAAUAUCCGUUGCUAAAUGUCAAUUUUGGCAUAGUGACAUCCGAAAUACGUCAACUAGAUUAGCAAGUGUAUUCAAAAGUAUAGGCAGCCCUUCUCUUCUCCGGCUUGUUUGCAUCAUAUAUAAAUUAUAAUUGCACCAUAUUGAUGUUGCACUUUUGUUUUAAACUAAAUCUUUGUUGUUAAUAUAUUUCAAAGUUAAAUUUGAUGGUGAUGAGUCGAUGAGGUAACGUUCACAUUGAUUUGGUUGCUUGCAUCAGUCCCAACAAAAGGGGAAAUUUCAAUGCAGCUUCCUUCUUAUCCUUCUUCCUUGCUAGAUUACAGCCACAACAUAUAUUUCAGAUUACUCAUUGCGUUUUGGCGCUCCUGAUUCCUG
rnacentral:lncRNA from 1 species